GAAGCCACACAACGCGGCUCCUCCUAGCCCCGGCGCGGCAGCCUGGAGGGGAUGUCUUUUUUGCAAAGCGAGUUCUCCAACUUUCCCGGGCCUUGGCGGAGCUCCGGGACCGCGCAGGGUGAGCAGCAUGUUGUCCAGCAGCAGCGCCAGGAACACGAUGAACAGGAUGAGCUUCCGCGAGCGGCGGCUCUCCUGCAGCCAGCGGACCAGCGCCAGCUCGCUCAGGGCCAUGGCUCCGGGGCUCCGCUGCGGGCGCGGUGCGCGGUCCCUUUUAUAAGCAAAGGAGAAACAAACAGAUGCCCUCUGACAUCGCUGGAGCUCUGCAGGCCCUCCGAGGGGACCGUGGGAGCAAGAGCUGUUUUCUUGAAAAGCUACCUAGAAUAAAUGUUACCCUGUCACAGUCUCUUAGCAGAAGAGUGGGCUUGUUUUAUUAAUGUUAGCUUGUUGACAGCAGGAGGCCACUGAGAACAGCAGUGUGAUGUGUGGCUGCCCCCGCUCUCUCCACCUCCCUACUCCCUUGCAGAGACCCCCUGUGCUUCUCAUUGCUACCCCAUGUGUGAGAAGAGAUGGUUGAAUAGGUAAGUAGGUCAGGAACAUGGGUCUCCAGGAUGUCACAGGAUGUGCACAACUUAAACAUUAAACAGGGAGGACAGAAGGAAAACCACUUAGGAGGAGGAAGCAGAUGGCAGAGAGCCGUUUAAGAUGGCAGGAGGGUAUCACUCAGGGAGUGCCCCAGAGUGCUUGCUCUGGAGUUUCAGAACCCAAGGAUGCAGACUCUACCCCAGGGACCACAUGGGGACAGAGAGGCAUUAUGGUAAAGGGUGCCUGCCAGGAUGCCCAGGUCCCAGUCUGCUACUUCCUUGACUGGUGGCCUUGGGCUGGUUAUGUAUCCUCUUUGUGGCUUAGUUUCGCCAUCUCUGGAAUGGGGAUACUCACUGGACCUACUGCAGCGUGGUUGUGAGAAUUCCAGGGGAAUGCAUAGGCAGCUCUUAGCACAGUGCCUGGCACAAAGUGAGAGCUCCGUAAGUGCCGGCCCCUCAUUCAUGCGCUGAAUAUGUGUUGAGCUCUUACUACGUGCCAGGCACUAUGGUUAAUGCUGGGGAGACAGUAAAGCCUAGACAAAUCCCUGCUGACAUUCUGACCUGAUAGCAGCAUCAUAGCAGUGAACACUGGAAGCCACACCAAACUCCAGCCCAGCCAGCUGGAUGUAGAUGGCUCCAGGGACAAUGCCAGCCCGGCGUUCCCGCCUCCGGAUCACUGUCACCACCCCUAGAGCACUAUGGCCUAUAACAGACUUUUUGUUGAAACCCCCUAAAAAAUGUUUAACAAUAUGUUUGCCUUACACAUUUUCAAGUUGGCAUCUAAAAUGAGUUUUUUAAUCAUAUAUUUAAAUAGGGUAUAUUGUAUUUAUUGACCUUUAUGUAUAAAAUUAUUAUCUCUCUCUUUUAAAUAUACCCAAAGGAAUUUGUAUAAGAAUACAAAACUGCCAUGUUAUACUUAAGAAUAUAAACAAGUAUCCCUUUAACAGUCAAAAUAUUUACAUUGUGUUCUUUACCCCUUUUAAGUAUGUUUCCAUUCCGUUUUCCAACAGAAUUGUAUCCUACCCUAAUGCUUUUAUUGUUUAAAUUCUGUAUUCAUCACCUAUCUAUUAUGUGAACCACAAUAAAUAUGUGAAUAUGCA
rnacentral:lncRNA from 1 species